rnacentral:rRNA from 1 species
GAUGAACGCUGGCGGCGUGCCUAACACAUGCAAGUCGAGCGAUCUUCUUCGGAAGAGAGCGGCGGACGGGUGAGUAACGCGUGGGUAACCUGCCCUGUACACACGGAUAACAUACCGAAAGGUAUGCUAAUACGGGAUAACAUAAGAAAUUCGCAUGUUUUUCUUAUCAAAGCUCCGGCGGUACAGGAUGGACCCGCGUCUGAUUAGCCAGUUGGUGAGGUAACGGCUCACCAAGGCGACGAUCAGUAGCCGACCUGAGAGGGUGAUCGGCCACAUUGGAACUGAGACACGGUCCAAACUCCUACGGGAGGCAGCAGUGGGGAAUAUUGCACAAUGGGCGAAAGCCUGAUGCAGCAACGCCGCGUGAGCGAUGAAGGCCUUCGGUCGUAAAGCUCUGUCCUCAAGGAAGAGUAAUGACGGUACUUGAGGAGGAAGCCCGGCUACUACGUGCCAGCAGCCGCGGUAAAGUCACGUCG